rnacentral:rRNA from 1 species
UACGUAGGGUCCGAGCGUUGUCCGGAAUUAUUGGGCGUAAAGGGCUCGUAGGCGGUCUGUCGCGUCGGGAGUGAAAACUUACGGCUUAACUGUGAGCGUGCUUCCGAUACGGGCAGACUUGAGGUAUUCAGGGGAGAACGGAAUUCCUGGUGUAGCGGUGAAAUGCGCAGAUAUCAGGAGGAACACCGGUGGCGAAGGCGGUUCUCUGGGAAUAUCCUGACGCUGAGGAGCGAAAGUGUGGGGAGCGAACAGG